rnacentral:rRNA from 1 species
UGGGCAACCUGCCCUCAGCUCUGGGAUAAACUCCAAGAAAUUGGGGCUAAAUACCGA